UAUACCACUGCUUCAGUUAACGCUGCUAACAUUCGUUCUUGAACCUACAUCGUAAAAAUCACUGCGAACUUACCAAGUAAUCGUUUUAACGUUAGCUUUACGGCAGUUUGUUACUUCCACAGUGAAGCUUCGCCGGAUGGAUUCUUUGAUUUUAAACCAUAAUCACUUACGCUCAGAUUUUCUUUCGUGCUGUUUCAGUAACAAAGAGGAGGACCAUGCAUGGCUAGGGAUGUCCGAAAAGUGUAAUUUGUUCGAAACUGAGGCACAGCAUAGGCGUUUGAAGACAAUCACUCCACGUGAAAAAAAAGACGCCAAGUAUUACGAACGAAGGAUGAGAAACAAUAUAGCAGCGAAAAAAUCAAGAGAAGCAAAACGUAGGAGAGAAAAUGAAAUGGCUUUGAAGGUGUACCUUAUUGAAAAAGAAAAUAUUUUGUUGAAGUUACGACUUAGGGCAGUCGUCGAAGAACUAAAUGCAGUUAAAAGGUCAUUGAUUGUUUACAACGCAAACAAAUUAUUUGGCCCGGUUAUAGUAUAAAACAUGUACAACAAAUUUCAUAUAUU